UCUUCCAUUUGCAUCCUUUGAAAAUCCCUAAUUUUUCAAAAUCCCCAAAUGUCUCACGCCCGCUACGAUCGUAACCCCCUUCGUCUUCUUCUUCGUCUGGCGAGUAUUUGACGUCAAGCGAGUCUUCGACGUUCGGCCACCGUUCGACUUCUAUCCAGGUUCGAGUUCGGCCCACGUUCGACUUCUGCCCAGGUAUGACUUUUGCCCCGAUUCGACUUCCACCAACGGUCCGACUUUCGCCCACAGUUCCACCUCUGCCCAUGGUUCGACGCAUACAUAUCUUUGGAAAUCUUACAUUAAAAGGCCAAUGGCAACUGUUGGACCAAGCCUUGGUGCUGCUGUUGCUAUUGAUUUUGUUGUCAAUUAUCCAGAAGCUAUAUGUAUCUACCAGUUGGAAUUUAUGACUACAAAUUUGAAGUUAUAUCCUCUGAAUGUAUCUACUAGCUAAAAUUAUUUUUUCUUGAACUAAUACUUUCAACUAUCCUAUCAAUUCUCCAGUUAAUUUUAGAUUCAUUUAUCAUAUUUUUCCUAAUGGAUAUCCAAGAAUUCUGUUUGUUCUCAAA